AUUGAACGCUGGCGGCAUGCCUAACACAUGCAAGUCGAGCGGAUGAAUCGAGCUUGCUCCUGGAUUCAGCGGCGGACGGGUGAGUCAUGCCUAGGAAUCUGCCUUGUCGUGGGGGAUAACGUCCGGAAACGGGCGCUUAUACCCCAUACGUCCUGUGGGCGACAGUGGGGGGUCUUCGGACCUCACGCUAUCAGAUUAGCCUAGGUCGGUUUAGAUAGUUGGUGGGGUAACUGCCUAACAAGGCGACUAUCCUUAACUGGUAUGAGAGGAUGAUCAGUAACACGGGAACUGAGAAACGGCAGCGACACUGAGGGGAGGCAGCAGUGGGGAAUAUUGGAGAAUGGGCGAAAGGCUGAUCCAGCAAUGCGGCGUAUGUGAAGAAGGACUACGGAUGGGAAAGCACUUUAAGUUGGGAGGAAGGGAAGUAAGUUAAUACCUGGCGGUAUUGACGUUACCAACAGAAUAAGCACCGGCUAACUUCGUG
rnacentral:rRNA from 1 species